rnacentral:rRNA from 1 species
UACAGAGGUCUCAAGCGUUGUUCGGAUUCAUUGGGCGUAAAGGGUGCGUAGGCGGCGCGGUAAGUCGGGUGUGAAAUCCCCGAGCUUUAACUUGGGAAUUGCGCUCGAAACUACGGAGCUGGAGUGUGGCAGAGGAAGGUGGAAUUCCACGUGUAGCGGUGAAAUGCGUAGAUAUGUGGAGGAACACCGAUGGCGAAGGCAGCCUUCUGGGCUGCACCUGACGCUGAGCCGCGAAAGCCAGGGGAGCGAACGGG